AGCAGCUUGAACAUGAGAGCCGUCUAGAUGAAGAAAAGGAGAACUUGACUCAACAGCUCCUGCGUGAAGUUGCUGAAUAUCAACGGAACAUCGUUUCUAGAAAGGAAAAAAUUUCUGCAUUGAAAAAGCAAGCCAAUCACAUUGUUCAGCAGGCUCAGAGAGAGCAAGAUCAUUUUGUGAAAGAAAAGAAUAAUUUAAUAAUGAUGUUGCAAAGAGAAAAGGAGAAUCUUUGUAAUUUGGAAAAGAAAUACUCCAGCCUCUCUGGGGGGAAAGGGUUUCCCGUUAACCCCAAUACUUUAAAAGAGGUAAGCUAUGAUUUUACAUGUCGCUUUAUGUUGCCUUAGAAAUCAGGAGAUGUAUUUCAGCUUUAUUUGAUUAGCUGAAUAAU
rnacentral:lncRNA from 1 species